AAACAGAUGCUAAUACCGCAAACARCGUUGUUCGCAUGAACAACGMUAAAAGAUGGCUUCUCGCUAUCACUUCUGGAUGGACCUGCGGUGCAUUAGCUUGUUGGUGGGGUAAYGGCCUACCAAGGCGAUGAUGCAUAGCCGAGUUGAGAGACUGAUCGGCCACAAUGGGACUGAGACACGGCCCAUACUCCUACGGGAGGCAGCAGUAGGGAAUCUUCCACAAUGGGCGCAAGCCUGAUGGAGCAACACCGCGUGAGUGAAGAAGGGUUUCGGCUCGUAAAGCUCUGUUGUUAAAGAAGAACACGUAUGAGAGUAACUGUUCAUACGUUGACGGUAUUUAACCAGAAAGUCACGGCUAACUACGUGCCAGCAGCCGCGGUAAUACGUAGGUGGCAAGCGUUAUCCGGAUUUAUUGGGCGUAAAGAGAGUGCAGGCGGUUUUCUAAGUCUGAUGUGAAAGCCUUCGGCUUAACCGGAGAAGUGCAUCGGAAACUGGAUAACUUGAGUGCAGAAGAGGGUAGUGGAACUCCAUGUGUAGCGGUGGAAUGCGUAGAUAUAUGGAAGAACACCAGUGGCGAAGGCGGCUACCUGGUCUGCAACUGACGCUGAGACUCGAAAGCAUGGGUAGCGAACAGGAUUAGAUACCCUGGUAGUCCAUGCCGUAAACGAUGAGUGCUAGGUGUUGGAGGGUUUCCGCCCUUCAGUGCCGGAGCUAACGCAUUAAGCACUCCGCCUGGGGAGUACGACCGCAAGGUUGAAACUCAAAGGAAUUGACGGGGGCCCGCACAAGCGGUGGAGCAUGUGGUUUAAUUCGAAGCUACGCGAAGAACCUUACCAGGUCUUGACAUCUUGCGCCAACCCUAGAGAUAGGGCGUUUCCUUCGGGAACGCAAUGACAGGUGGUGCAUGGUCGUCGUCAGCUCGUGUCGUGARAUGUUGGGUUAAGUCCCGCAACGAGCGCAACCCUUGUUACUAGUUGCCAGCAUUAAGUUGGGCACUCUA
rnacentral:rRNA from 1 species